AAAAGCUUAAGUUAAUAAACUAAUAUCCUUCAAAGAUAGAAUUUCCUCCCUAGUAGUGU
rnacentral:tRNA from 1 species